rnacentral:rRNA from 1 species
UACGAAGGGGGCUAGCGUUGCUCGGAAUCACUGGGCGUAAAGCGCACGUAGGCGGAUUUGUUAGUCAGGGGUGAAAUCCCGGGGCUCAACCUCGGAACUGCCUUUGAUACUGCAAAUCUCGAGUCCGGAAGAGGUGAGUGGAAUUCCUAGUGUAGAGGUGAAAUUCGUAGAUAUUAGGAAGAACACCAGUGGCGAAGGCGGCUCACUGGUCCGGUACUGACGCUGAGGUGCGAAAGCGUGGGGAGCAAACAGG